rnacentral:tRNA from 1 species
CUCUGUAGCUCAGUCGGUAGAGCACAGGACUGAAAAUCCUGGUGUCGGCAGUUCGAUUCUGCCCGG